UGGGGAAUCUUGCACAAUGGGCGAAAGCCUGAUGCAGCAACGCCGCGUGCGGGAAGACAGCCCUAGGGUUGUAAACCGCUUUCAGCAGGGAAGAAACUGACGGUACCUGCAGAAGAAGAUGCGGCCAACUACGUGCCAGCAGCCGCGGUGACACGUAGGCAUCAAGCGUUAUCCGGAUUUAUUGGGCGUAAAGAGCUCGUAGGCGGUUCGGUAAGUCGGGUGUGAAAACUCUGGGCUCAACCCAGAGAGGCCACUCGAUACUGCUGUGACUAGAGUGCGGUAGGGGGAGCGGGGGAAUUCCUGGUGUAGCGGUGAAAUGCGCAGAUAUCAGGAGGAACACCAGUGGCGAAGGCGCCGCUCUGGGCCGUAACUGACGCUGAGGAGCGAAAGCAUGGGUAGCAAACAGGAUUAGAUACCCUGGUAGUCCAUGCCGUAAAACGUUGGGCACUAGGUGUGGGUCUC
rnacentral:rRNA from 1 species